CGAAAGCCUGACGGAGCAAGACCGCGUGAGGGGGGAAGGCUCUUGGGUUGUAAACCUCUUUUCUCAGGGAAGAAGCACAGACGGUACCUGAGGAAUCAGCAUCGGCUAACUCCGUGCCAGCAGCCGCGGUAAUACGGAGGAUGCAAGCGUUAUCCGGAUUUAUUGGGCGUAAAGCGUCCGCAGGUGGUAGUUCAAGUCGAUUGUCAAAGGCAGUAGCUUAACUACUGAGAGGCAGUGGAAACUGAAAGACUAGAGUGCGGUAGGGGUAGAGGGAAUUCCCGGUGUAGCGGUGAAAUGCGUAGCGAUCGGGAAGAACACCAGUGCCGAAAGCGCUCUGCUGGACCGGCACUGACACUGAGGGCCGAAAGCUAGGGGAGCAC
rnacentral:rRNA from 1 species